AUAUAGAGAAGAUUGUGUUGGUGUCUCUUUGUUCACGUGUGUUUUCUUCUCUGAAGGAGGAAACAGACGCAGAAAAACAUUCCUAAGAAGUGGAACUUCAGGUUCUUCCUGUAACGAAGAUGAUCAGCAGCCGUCGCUGUGAGUCAUUCUUUGUUUCCAGCAGCAGUGAUCCGGGUCAGCUCCGUCAGAACACACUCUUAGAUGUGAGAGGACGUGUGUGUGUCGUCUGUCAGCGUUUCUGCUGUGAGUCUGUCUCAGCUUUGAUGUUUGUCUGUGAAACUGGAAACAGACGUGUUGCUGCACUUUAUCUCUCGGACACAAACUUUAUUGAUCCCUGCAGGAAAACAGCUUCGUACCAUCUCCCAACAGAACAGGAAGCAGGUGAAGGUAGAAAGUGUGUGUGAGCUGAUGUGAAUUCAGCAGCAUGGAUCAGUGUGAGGACAGAGAGGAGGGAGUCCCUCCCUCUAAAACCACUCUGUGUGGGGAACAUGAGAGCCAGAGCAAAGAUCAGAGGAACACACCUGGACCUGGACCUGGACCUGGACCUGGACCCAGCUGUGUGUCCUUAAAGAGCAACUUCUCAAAGGAUCUUUCUA